rnacentral:lncRNA from 1 species
UGAUGCUUCAGGAUCUAUGUUCAAUACAGUUAUAAUAAUUAAUAUGUACUAUUUUAUUGUAAAUUAAGUACAUAAAUUUUAUAAAAUCAGAUAGUGAGUGACAUUUUGUCUUCUGGUUGUGCGGAAGCUUACGGAAGUGUGUAGGCGAUCCUGAAAGUACUUUUUCACUCUGAGAGUACACCUAAACGUUCGUUUCCUAAAAAGGUGUUAUUAAUAAUAUUAACUGGUGCAUGGGUAGGUAUUACAUCCUGAGUGCUAUAAAAGAUUCUUUGUAGGCUGUUCUUUUAAUCAUGAAUCUCAUCCAAAAACAAGUAUGUUUCUUGGUGGUGGUGUUCUUGUCUGCUAUUGUCUAUAGCCAAGCUCCAGAAAAGCUAACAUCAAGUCAGUGUGUAUCAAAAAAACGUGUGGUGAGUGUAUUACAGCUCACCCUGAUUGUGCCUGGUGUUCUGAUGAGAAAUUUGACAGUAAUGGAAGCCGGCGAUGUGACACGAUCGGUAAUUUGAUUGGCAGCUGUCCUCGUAAGGAAAUUGUUCACCCAAACAGCAAGAUGGAAAAAGUAGUGGAUAAACAGUUAAGUGACACGGGAGCCAGGGAAGAAAAUGCUGUCCAAAUUAAACCUCAGAGAAUUAAGUUGAAGCUUAAACCGAAUGGAUCUAGAAGAAACCCCGUGUGGUUAAAGUGUGAAUCUUUAACUGAGAACGUCCUGUGAAAAUACCUUUAACGUGGCUUAAGUUACAGUUUUAUAGAGAAGUUUUUCUUUGAAUUCUAGCUCCUUGUAACUAAAAACUAAAAUAUUAUUAACCACAAACAUGCUUUCUUCUUAUCUUCGAUUUCUUCAGUGCAAAAAAACAUAGUUUAAAUACUUUUUUUAUUCGUUUAAGAAUCCUUAAUUCACAGAAUGUCUUAAAUGAACGUCACUUUGUGCUUAUUUUAAUUGUUACCAUUUUAAACCCGUAUCCUGUAACAUUCAUGUGUGAAAAGAUAUGUGAAGGACCUUUAACACCCGUGACACUUCACAUUUAAUGUUAUCAGUUUCCCCUUAUGUAAUUGAAGAACAAUCAUUAUAUGUAGGAAACUAAAUGAAACCUCUUGUAAUUAUACAAAUUGUUUUCCCAGUAAGUCUUGAAUUUUUGUAGGUUUAUAAUGUAACUUUCAUUUAUUUACUUUUCAAAUAUAUUUACAACCUUCUUACUAAGUCCUAUAUAAGAACAUAAGUAUUUUUUUUCCUACGUUCCGUCCCUGUUUUCAUUCCCACUUUUAUGUACCUGGUCAACAGUCUUUUCAAUAACCAGUCAGUUAAUUCAGUACUUUAGUAAAAACUAAAUAUCUUCAUCAAGAUCACAGAUGAUGCAUGAAGAGUCCUGUAAAGAAUACUCUAAAGGUUCCUAAUUCCUUCACUAACAGAAUACCAUUUAUAUUUCUAUAAAUAAACUAGUUACAAAGCCUUGUUUAUUUUUUGACACAAGUUUAGACUUGAACUUGAAAAUUAUUUUUUGCUUUGCGUAUAAAUUGAACUAUUUGAUGAUGGGAAUUUAAAAGCAUUUCUUCUGUACGAGUGAAAUCUACAAACGACGUAUACGUACCUCUGUCCGUAUCUGGUGGAAGCAAAGGUACAUCAUUGGCCAUUGUUUCAGUGGAGCUCGUAUACACGUUGGAGACCACCAAAGGAAGGAAACUUCUCUUCGUGUGUAAUCCACUCCUUACUGCUUGAAACGUCCCAUUAUGUUCAAUACCACGUUUAAGCCUUAACUGAAAUGGUUAACUAGUUGUUCCGUUAAAGUGUUGUAGCUCUUCUUUUGUUGUCUUCGAUAAUAAUUUUAACAACAUGAAAAAGAAAAUGUUGUAUUAUAGUUUACUUAGCUCUGUUCAUCAACUGAUUUUGUAACCCACUGCUGAUGAUUUAUCACAUGUUGCUAAGAUUAAUAUUUUUAUGAACACAACUUAGCUGAUUACAUUUGGAUUUUGAGGAUGAAGGAAAAUUACUUGUGUGGAACGUAAAUCUAGUUGUUCUGGUUGUGAGGCUGUAGAAAUUAUACACCCUACCUAUAUAUAACCUGAAAAAGACAAAUAUAAAUCCAGUCAUUAUUGAAUGUACUGAUAAUAUAUCUUUCUUACAUAAUUGUUAUCUUAUCUUUGUAGGUUACAUAUAAUGGAGUGCCUACUUCAUUUUAAGUAUGUCUGUAAACUGUGCCUACAAUACAAACAAAUUCGUGAAGAAAGGAACUGUAAAGUGGCUUCUUGAUGAGAAUAUCUACAGUGUAAAUAAUACUGUAGUUGUGUUAUAUAACUCGCCUGACUUGCAGAUAGUAAAACGAUAUUAAGUAUACUGUUUUGUGUGAGGAUUUUAUGAUUAAUUGGUCAUAUUUUUGGGUCUGUUAUAUUUUUAACACUCAUAAUGUGGAAGAAAUUUUUAAAGAACUUGAAACAUCGUAUUUAUGCAAAAAUGUUGGAGA